UGUUUUUAUUUUCAUGUUUGUUUUUUUUUAUCAACAACAUGUUUAUAGAAAACAUUUAUAAUAAUUGACAACAUGCAUUAUUUGCUGCAUUCUAUCAAAACUAAAGAUACAUUUCAUUACAAAACUACACUAUAAUGUAGUCAUACAUUGCACAUAUCAGAAUCAGAUUUGACAUAUGUCUGAGUUAACAGUUCUGCUAGGAUGAUUUGCUGGAAGUAACACUUCUCAGAAUAUAUUUCUCUUGUAUCAUGAUCAUUUUAUACUAAUUUAUAUGUUCCUGAAAACAAUUUGAAAUCAUUGUUCACAAAACUUACUGACAAAUUAUAGCAAAUUAAACGUCCUUCCUUGAGUUUUGGUGAUAAAAAAAAAAUUGAAAUGAACUUUAUUGUCAUGAUUGGUUAUUUUAUGCUGGUUUUCAAAAAAUUUGGUUUCAAUGUACUUUCAAAAAUUACAUGAAAUCAGUGAAAAUUUCCAGUUUACCCAAGAUCACUUCCAAUUAACCUAUUUCAAGGCCAUAUAUUGUACAUUCUUUGCAUCUUGACCUAUUUAAUGCAAAUCAUCCAAUGGUUUUAUCAUGUUCCAGUAUAAAGCUUCAUCAAUUAAUCAUUAAAUUAAGUAUUCCAAGGGCAACAACUCCAUAAAUUUUAUGACAUGAUAUCUCAAAAAAUUUGCUUCAUUUCAUUCUUUGUCUUAUAUCUUAUCCAUUUCUUUUUUUGUCUACCUCACACAGUAUUAGUGGAAUAGGCAUAACAAGAUGAGACUAAAGUUCUCAACAUGUAAGGUACCACCAUACAGCUUAUUUAAAAUAUUGAAGGAAAAAUCUCAAGCCAGAUGAUUUAUCCAAAUUCAGUGUUGUAGAAUCCUUUUACCUUUUACAGUUUCUUUGAUUAUGAAUGACAAGCAAAAUCUAAAUUUAAAAUAUGACCUUGACCUCAAUUUUCUGCUAAUGGACAAAUACCACACAUAUUAUAAUAUAUAUCAAAUACUCUUAGCCUAUGAGUCACAUUGACAUACAUUUUUGUCAAACACAAAAACAAAAAAGUAUGUUCCCUAUUGGAAAAAGCAACUCUUAUCAGAUGUCAACAAAUUGCUUUGAUGAAAUUUAAACACAUCAUACUAAGGAACUAGCUUAAAUAAUUUAAUGAAUAUAUUAAGGAUUGCUGAGGAGAUGUGACUACAAUAAAAAUCAUUUAAUGGGGAGAUAACUCACAUAGAGAAAAAAGUUUAGUCAAAUAGGUUCAGUUUAAAAAGUACAGUGACUAUUUGACAUCAUAUACCAAAUAGCUUAUCUACUUGCUGGAAAACAAAAGCAAUAUUACAAGUCGUUAAAAAAUUUAUUAGAACAACACCUUGUUUGUAGACACAAUAAGUUUCAGUAGUGUCAGAAAAAAAAAAUUCUUUUCAAAUAUGCUUGGAUGAAAAUCUUCUCAGUAAUUUCAAACAUUUGUGUACCAUUUAACUUGUUGACAGACAUCGCCCUUUACGAAAACAAAUUAAAAUCAAACAAUAAAAUGUUAAGGAAAUAAAAGUGUAUGUAAAUGUUAACUUUCUUUUCUAUGCAUGCUACAAUUGUAUAAAAUAGAAAUACAAGAAUGUACAAUUGUAAAAUACUAUACAUAAAAAAUAUAAUUAUCAAAUCUUCUAUAAUAAUACAUUCAAAAUGUCCAAUUUUCAUCAUGGACAAUGUUUCUAAAUCCAUUUAAUUCUUAUCCAAAACCGUUUCUUAAACAAAAUAUUUUUACUAAUCUAUAAUAG
rnacentral:lncRNA from 1 species